UCGGCUGCUGGCUGGCGGCUGACAAAACCACAGGCCAAUCCCCGCUGGCAGGAUGGGGACAGGCUGACAAUUUCAUGUCCUAAUUGCAGGGCCUUGCAUUUCCUCCUCUGGAAACUCAGGUGUGGAAUGAGUGGGGCUGUCGGUGCAACCUGGGCGAGAUUCCUCUCGGCCUCCCUGGGUCUGAUCAAGGUCACCGACCCCCAGCUGUAGCCCCCAAGACUGGCUCCUGAUGGCUUUUGUGCCCUGCUCAGCAAAAGCUCAGCUGCGAUCCUCUUGGUGGCCCAGACAGAGGUGACCACAUAGUGUAUCGUCUUUCGAGGGUGGGAGGGAGCUCUGUUCGUAAUUACUCCUGGGGCAUUCUGGGGCUAUUGCAGGAAACGGAAUAUGUCACCAACGGAGACGCAGAUCCCCUAGCAGGAUGCAUGCCGGCCGGCACACGACUCGGAGCACGAGAGGGGCCUGUGAUCGUGUGGUGCUUACGUGCUUCACGCGUGUGUGCGGAAGCACGGGUGAGCCCGUGGGGAGCAUGGCGCACUGCCACUGUGCACACGUGGGCCGGCCAUGUGUGGGAACACGUGUGUCCCUGUGUGCACACACCCAGAGCCCGUCCCGGCAGCCCGGAGACGGCUCCUUCCCCUUGUACAGCUGGAGACUCCGGAAGGAGGAGGCGGGUCGGGCUGGCCUCCUGCUUGAUGAGGGUAAGACGAACAGGCCAAGGUGGGAGGCCAAGGCCAGGUCUCGCUCAGGCUGGGGCGUGGCCCUAACACAUGUUUCCUGCCCAGCGUAGUGGCGGCAACCUUGGACAGGAGGUUGGACCCCAUCAGGAAGGUUUUGCUUCAAGAUAUGGGGCUUCCGAGGCUGGGUCAGCUUCCCCAGCGUUUGCAUUCAUCCUAACAUGUGACUGCCUCUUCCUCCAGGCAGCCUUCCGUGACUUCUGCUGUCGCCCCAGUGGCCUCUGUCUCCAGAGCAGGUGGAGCAAGAGGCUAUCUGCUUGCUCCCUGGACCCAGCGGACAUAUUCCCAGAGACAGCUGGAAAUAUCAUUGUGAUGUGGGAUGCUGGAGAUGGGACAGGAGCCACACAGACCCAGCUUUGCCCUCUGGAACUCACAGCAUCCCGGCAGCCGGCAGAGAGAGAGAGAGGGCCGGCAAACAACUCCACGAGGGGGUCCCGCGAUAACAUGCGAGAAGUGGGUGGAGAAUGCCUGGCAAGCCUGGGUAGCCAAGGAGGGCCGGACAAGCAGGUGCAUGGGCUCAGACAUGGAGGGUGCCUGGGGACAUCAUCCUGGGGCAGGAAACGGCAGGUGCAAAAGCCCUGGGGCCGGAUGAGGUGCUGGCUCCCUCACUCCCUUGCUCAGGGAACAUCUGAGCAGCACCCCCCAGAAGCAAGGGCUGUGCUCGUGUGCAUGGGCCAAGCUCCGGAGAGAACUCGGGAGGCUCCCAGGUCUGAGGGGGAUGGGGGCCAGGGCUGGGUGGUGCAGAGGAUGAGGGGAUGACCUUCCUCCCAGAGACAGAGUACCAGGGGAGAGAAAAAGGCCUCUGGCAUCCCUGUCCAGUGCAUGGAAUUGUGGGGGCUUGGAGGCAUCCUGUGGCCAGGCUGCAGGAGUUCCCAGCCAGACCUGGUCCCCUGGGAAACGAGGUCCGGGAGGCCUGGUUUGCUGUGAGCCCACCUCCACAACCCACCUGGCCAAUGAGCAGAAGCCUGAGCUGGGGUUCAGGGACCCAUCCGUGGAGUCGCCCCUGAGGGAGGGCUUCCCACGUGGCACCCCACUGGGCCCCUCUCCCAAGCCCUCACCCCUCCCUCCCAGGCUCUGGAAACCUCUUGCUGUCCCCCCAAGUUAGUGUCCAGGACUGCUUUCACAAAUGGCCACAGACUUGGCUGGAAACAAAAUAAAUUCAUUGUCUCAGUC